rnacentral:misc_RNA from 1 species
GAUGAAGUACGCAGCGAAAUGCGAUAAGUAAUGUGAAUUGCAGAAUUCAGUGAAUCAUCGAGUCUUUGAACGCACAUUGCGCCCCCUGGUAUUCCGGGGGGCAUGCCUGUCCGAGCGUCAUUGCUGCCCUCAAGCACGGCUUGUGUGUUGGGCCGUCGUCCCCCUCCUAGGGGACGGGCCCGAAAGGCAGCGGCGGCACCGCGUCCGGUCCUCGAGCGUAUGGGGCUUCGUCACCCGCUCCGUAGGCCCGGCCGGCGCUUGCCGACGACCAUCAAUCUCUUUCUCCAGGUUGACCUCGGAUCAGGUAGGGAUACCCGCUGAACUUAAGCAUAUCAAUAAGCGGAGGA